rnacentral:rRNA from 1 species
UAGCUUGCUACCUGACCUAGCGGCGGACGGGUGAGUAAUGCUUAGGAAUCUGCCUAUUAGUGGGGGACAACAUUCCGAAAGGAAUGCUAAUACCGCAUACGCCCUACGGGGGAAAGCAGGGGAUCUUCGGACCUUGCGCUAAUAGAUGAGCCUAAGUCAGAUUAGCUAGUUGGUGGGGUAAAGGCCUACCAAGGCGACGAUCUGUAGCGGGUCUGAGAGGAUGAUCCGCCACACUGGGACUGAGACACGGCCCAGACUCCUACGGGAGGCAGCAGUGGGGAAUAUUGGACAACGGGCGAAAGCCUGAUCCAGCCAUGCCGCGUGUGUGAAGAAGGCCUUUUGGUUGUAAAGCACUUUAAGCGAGGAGGAGGCUACUUGGAUUAAUACUCUAGGAUAGUGGACGUUACUCGCAGAAUAAGCACCGGCUAACUCUGUGCCAGCAGCCGCGGUAAUACAGAGGGUGCGAGCGUUAAUCGGAUUUACUGGGCGUAAAGCGUGCGUAGGCGGCUUUUUAAGUCGGAUGUGAAAUCCCUGAGCUUAACUUAGGAAUUGCAUUCGAUACUGGGAAGCUAGAGUAUGGGAGAGGAUGGUAGAAUUCCAGGUGUAGCGGUGAAAUGCGUAGAGAUCUGGAGGAAUACCGAUGGCGAAGGCAGCCAUCUGGCCUAAUACUGACGCUGAGGUACGAAAGCAUGGGGAGCAAACAGGAUUAGAUACCCUGGUAGUCCAUGCCGUAAACGAUGUCUACUAGCCGUUGGGGCCUUUGAGGCUUUAGUGGCGCAGCUAACGCGAUAAGUAGACCGCCUGGGGAGUACGGUCGCAGGACUAAAACUCAAAUGAAUUGACGGGGGCCCGCACAAGCGGUGGAGCAUGUGGUUUAAUUCGAUGCAACGCGAAGAACCUUACCUGGUCUUGACAUAGUAAGAACUUUCCAGAGAUGGAUUGGUGCCUUCGGGAACUUACAUACAGGUGCUGCAUGGCUGUCGUCAGCUCGUGUCGUGAGAUGUUGGGUUAAGUCCCGCAACGAGCGCAACCCUUUUCCUUAUUUGCCAGCGGGUUAAGCCGGGAACUUUAAGGAUACUGCCAGUGACAAACUGGAGGAAGGCGGGGACGACGUCAAGUCAUCAUGGCCCUUACGACCAGGGCUACACACGUGCUACAAUGGUCGGUACAAAGGGUUGCUACCUAGCGAUAGGAUGCUAAUCUCAAAAAGCCGAUCGUAGUCCGGAUUGGAGUCUGCAACUCGACUCCAUGAAGUCG